rnacentral:tRNA from 1 species
CGGGGUAUGGCGCAGUUGGUAGCGCGCUAGACUGGGGGUCUAGAGGCCGUGGGUUCAAGUCCCGCUACUCCGACCA